rnacentral:antisense_RNA from 1 species
UGUGGGAGCGGGCUUGCUCGCGAAUGCGGCGGAUCAGUCAGUUUAUAGACAACUGAUGUACCGCAUUCGCGAGCAAGCCCGCUCCCACA